rnacentral:tRNA from 1 species
ACCUGGGUGGCUCAGUUGUUUGAGUGUCUGACUUCAGCUCAAGUCGUGAUCUCACGGUUUGUGGGUUCAAGUCCCACAUCAGGCU